AUCCUUCAGGUUCUGACGCAUGAUGAAUGGGGUUUGCACACGGCUGUGUGAGAUGUGCCGUCCUUUGUUACGACGGGGCACAGAACCCAUCUGACC
rnacentral:snoRNA from 1 species